UUGCGGAGGGAAAGGAACCAACCGGGAUUGCCUUAGUAACGGCGAGUGAAGCGGCAAAAGCUCAAAUUUGAAAUCUGGCGUCUUCGACGUCCGAGUUGUAAUUUGAAGAAGGCAACUUUGUAGCUGGUCCUUGUCUAUGUUCCUUGGAACAGGACGUCAUAGAGGGUGAGAAUCCCGUGUGGCGAGGAUCCCAGUUAUUUGUAAAGUGCUUUCGACGAGUCGAGUUGUUUGGGAAUGCAGCUCUAAGUGGGUGGUAAAUUCCAUCUAAAGCUAAAUAUUGGCGAGAGACCGAUAGCGAACAAGUACAGUGAUGGAAAGAUGAAAAGAACUUUGAAAAGAGAGUGAAAAAGUACGUGAAAUUGUUGAAAGGGAAGGGCAUUUGAUCAGACAUGGCGUUUGCUUCGGCUUUCGCUGGGCCAGCAUCAGUUUUAGCGGUUGGAUAAAUCCUCGGGAAUGUGGCUCUGCUUCGGUAGAGUGUUAUAGCCCGUGGGAAUACAGCCAGCUGGGACUGAGGAUUGCGACUUUUGUCAAGGAUGCUGGCGUAAUGGUUAAAUGCCGCCCGUCUUACC
rnacentral:rRNA from 1 species